rnacentral:snRNA from 1 species
GGUUGUGAGGGCAAUUUGACAACAUCUUUCACCCUAUUGACAGCCAGAUUUGACUUGGCAGAACCUACUGACUAGGUAGGUGUCCCCUUCCUCCUUCACUGCUUCAUGUGUGAUACAUUUGGUCCAAAGAGAUGACCUUCCACAGCAGAAAAUGACUGUUCUGCAGCUGAGGGUGCACAGCAAGCUGUUCUCUCCUGCUAGGGCCUCCUCCAAACAAUCCCUCAAGAAGUGACACAGAUUAUACUGAAAAAUUGGGUCAGAAACAUACAGGCCCACAGCAGGUACACUGGCAGAGCUU